UNCCAUGUGUAGCGGUGAAAUGNGUAGAUAUAUGGAGGAACACCGGUGGCGAAAGCGGCUCUCUGGUCUGUAACUGACGCUGAGGCUCGAAAGCGUGGGGAGCGAACAGGAUUAGAUACCCUGGUAGUCCACGCCGUAAACGAUGAGUGCUAGGUGUUAGGCCCUUUCCGGGGCUUAGUGCCGCAGCUAACGCAUUAAGCACUCCGCCUGGGGAGUACGACCGCAAGGUUGAAACUCAAAGGAAUUGACGGGGGCCCGCACAAGCGGUGGAGCAUGUGGUUUAAUUCGAAGCAACGCGAAGAACCUUACCAGGUCUUGACAUCCCGAUGCCCGCUCUAGAGAUAGAGUUUUACUUCGGUACAUCGGUGACAGGUGGUGCAUGGUUGUCGUCAGCUCGUGUCGUGAGAUGUUGGGUUAAGUCCCGCAACGAGCGCAACCCUUAUUGUUAGUUGCCAUCAUUCAGUUGGGCACUCUAGCGAGACUGCCGGUAAUAAACCGGAGGAAGGUGGGGAUGACGUCAAAUCAUCAUGCCCCUUAUGACCUGGGCUACACACGUGCUACAAUGGCUGGUACAACGAGUCGCAAGUCGGUGACGGCAAGCUAAUCUCUUAAAGCCAGUCUCAGUUCGGAUUGUAGGCUGCAACUCGCCUACAUGAAGUCGGAAUCGCUAGUAAUCGCGGAUCAGCACGCCGCGGUGAAUACGUUCCCGGGCCUUGUACACACCGCCCGUCACACCACGAGAGU
rnacentral:rRNA from 1 species